UACGGAGGGAGCUAGCGUUGUUCGGAAUUACUGGGCGUAAAGCGCACGUAGGCGGCUUUGUAAGUUAGAGGUGAAAGCCCGGGGCUCAACCCCGGAAUUGCCUUUAAGACUGCAUCGCUUGAAUCCGGGAGAGGUGAGUGGAAUUCCGAGUGUAGAGGUGAAAUUCGUAGAUAUUCGGAAGAACACCAGUGGCGAAGGCGGCUCACUGGACCGGUAUUGACGCUGAGGUGCGACAGCGUGGGGAGCAAACAGG
rnacentral:rRNA from 1 species